GGCUGAAAGUCACAUGAGCUGAGCUCAAACAUUUUAAAAAAUUUUUCUUAGUAACAUUAUUUGAACAAAAUAAAAACCUGUCCCAGCAGUUCUCUCUACCAGGCACUUGGCAGAGGUCCCACAAGGUUCUCAGAAACUUGGGCCGGGCCCCAGCUCAUCCCAAGGAAUCUCUGGGCUCAGCUGCCUGUCUUAGGGAAUGCUUGCCUUGCCAUCAUGUGAAUUCAGGACAAAAACUGUUGGGAUUUAGAACAGCCUGGGUUCCAAUCUGCUGGGCUUACGAAAAAGAAAAAGCUGGGGAGAAGACAGAGGAAUGCUUUGGCUCAUGCAACAGAAAAGUCUGGAGGCAACCGCUUCAGGUAAGACUGGUUCCAUGGGCUCAAACAAUUUCAUCAGGACUUGGUUUCUCUCUGCCUUUUACAUACGCUUUCCCCUGUGUCAACUUCAUCCUUAAGCAGCAAAAUAGAUGUCAGAAGCCUGGAAACACAGACUUACAACUUGGCCACCCUUUUCCUAACAGUUCCAGGAAAAGCUAGAGUUAAACCUCACUGGAUCAGUGUGGGUCCCAAGCCCAACCCUAUUGGUUAUUGUGGAUGGAAUAUGCUGAUUAGCUGGGCCUGGAGCCAAAGGAAAAUGGGGUACAGUGUGUGUGGGGGAGGGUGAUUUAGGGGGGGAAAGGCGACAGGAAUGCUGACUGGGUAAGAAUGAGAGACGAUCACGGGGUGAUGUAGGGUAUAGGUCUCAGGCUGCUGUUGAUCCAUCCAUUCACUUAGCAGAUAGUUAUUUAGCAACUGCUGCAUGCCAAGCACCACGGGAGGCCCUGAGGCUGAGUAACCAAACAGAUCUAGCACUAACUCUUAGGAAGAGCAGGUCCAGUGGGGAAGAUGAAUAACACACCAGCAAACACACAGAUACACGAGGUAGGUGUGGAGAGUGGAACUUCUGGGAAGGACAAAAAUGGAUGAGAACAAGGAACAAUGGUGUCAGGGGAGGGCAAGAUGAGUGGCCAUUUGGGCACCCAUGUGCACCAAGAAAGCAGAAAGAUCCAGCUCAAGGUGAAAAUCUGAACAGUCAGAUGGUUGGGGCAGAUGUGCAAAGCCAAGAGAACACAUUUCCCCCCAGAGAGAAGGGGAGAAAAGGAGGGAGAGAGACAGGCAGGGAUGGACAGGACUUACACCCAGUUUUCUCCUUUUAGUCUCAUACUCCUACCUUCUUAUCAUGAAUCCCCUUUACUCACAUUUGGCCAAAGGGUCUCUUUGUCUUGAAUAAAUCACCCUAAACUAUGGAAUUAACCAAAAAUUCAAGACGUCUAACCUCAUUACUUGCCCACAAGACACCAUUUUGUAGGCUCAUUCAUUCUUAAGUGACAUAAGAUACCCAAAACUUCACUGGGCUGUGACUGAAAAGUACCCACGCUUAAAAAAAUAAUACUAUAUGUGAAUACUUAAGUAUAUAUAUAGUGUACUCACAUGUACUUAAGGAUACACAGAAAGUGAGACAGCCAGUUCAGUAGCAGAUUUGAAAACCAAAGCACCAUUUCUUGAGCUCUCCACAGUGGGUCUGCAGGCUUGUGGGGGUAUAAGAAUGAUUCAGUGCUGGGGCGCCUGGGUGGCUCAGUCAGUUAAGCGGCCGACUUCGGCUCAGGUCAUGAUCUCACAGUUCAGAGGUUUGAGCUCCACAUAGGGCUCUGUGCUCAUAGCUCAGAGCCUGAAGCCUGCUUCAGAUUCUAUGUCUCCCUCUCUCUCUGCCCCUCCCUCACUCCUGCUCUGUCUCUCUCUGUCUCAAAAUUAAAUAAACAUUAAAAAAAAAAAAAGAAUGAUUCAGUGCUGGGGCACCUGGGUGGCUAAUUCCUCAAAGAUGCCCAAAGCAAAGUACACACACACACACACGCACAUGCACAUUCACAUAAGAGAGUACACACACACAGCACACACAGACACAUAAAUUAUAUCCAUUCCCAUACAUACACACACAAUGAAUACAUGCAAAGUGCAAACAUACACAUACAAAGCACAUGUAUACAAGGUACACAUACACAAACUACACACACACACACAAAUUGCACACAUGCACACAAAGCACACACAGUAAACACACACACAGAUUAUGAAAAGCGUUCAGAUUAAUUUUUGACUACUAUUCACCAAGGCCCUUCUCACAGCCAGGCACUGUGGUUGAAGGUGUUUUCACACCCAUGGUAAUAGCAAUGAUGGAAGAAGUGCUUAUCGAUCUUCCCUGUGUCCCUGGAAGGCCCGGUUUCAUCAGCAUUCCCCUUUUUGGAAGGAAAGGGCUUGCCCUGGGCCACACCUCUAAGACAUGGUGGAGCCUCUAGGACGGCUAGAGGGCCACACCUCUAGGACAGCUCUCCUCUUUGGUCAACUCCACACUGCUCUCUAAAUGUACAUGUGUAAGGGUCCAGGUCCUGCCACAUCCACUGUGUCUACACAAAUGAGCUCCCUGUGAUGCAGAUCUCAGCAUGUUACACAUCUCAGGGUAUAAAACGGUACUCUCUAUACUAUAGCCUACUAACGCCAUUCCAGAUUUAUUACAUUUAUUUAAAAACAACAAACAUUCUCAAUUAUUUCCACACUGCUCGGGACCAUAAUUUACUCAGAGGUAUGAGCUAUCAAGUUUCUCAGGGAUUGCUUCAAAAUGUCAGAUCUAAAAGAUGACUCCUAUGUUAGCAAAUAUGAAAUACCCAUUUGUAUUUUUCAUUUUUACUUUGAUUUAAUUUUCAGACAAUUCAACUUUCUCCCCAUGCCUGAGUGCCUAAAUUCAUUUCACCUGUCAAAAGAGACAAAUUUUCAUAAUUACAAAAUAAAACAUGGUGGCCUUCUUUGGUGACCGUAUAUUUCACAUCUUUCUUUUUUCUGUAUGAAAAUGCCUUUCUAGUCUAGUUGGCUUACUUCUGACAUAUUUUCGUUCAGUCUCUGCUUAGAACAGACAAGGGUACAGGCUAAACAUUCACUAAUGUUUUGUUAUGUUAAUGAACAUCUGUAAACAGAGAUGAAAUUUCCCAGCCGAGCCUGCCUUCGAUGCUCACAUCUUCUUUUCUGUAAUCUGUGCUGAAAACAGUCAGUGUUCUGAGAUUACAAGCUAUAGCAUGACACAUACCCCAUUCUAUAGUGGUUCCUUCUGCCUUGACCAAAAAGCCCUCAAGUCCUACCAUCAGGUUCAGUCAGGAUGUUCAUUUCAGAGAGGUCAGAAUCAUCUAGGGCUUUCUUACCAUAGCUGCCAGGGGCAGCUUACUAUGCACAGGACAUAGUAAGGGGAUUUUCUUUAAAAUAUUUUAUUUUCAUUUACAAAAGUAAUACAUGUUCUUUGUCUAAAAAUUUGGGGGGACAGAAACAGCAACAGUCAGAAACAGAUGACCUACAACUCCACCGUCCAAAGCAAAACACAGCCAACACGCUGAUGGAACUUCAGACUGUUCUUUUAAAACAAAAUUCACACAUACACACACAAAAAUAAAUAAAUAAAUGAAAAUAAAAUUCACUUUUGACUUGGUUGGGCUUUUGAAUCCUUGAAAAUGGUUAAUCAUUAGAAACCUACUCUAUUAGUUGCCAAGGGGUUAAAGACGAAAAGGGAAGAAAACAUUUACUUCUUUGAAGCUGUCCACCUGAGGUGCAAGGUUCUGUCCCACAGAGUGUUGAAAUGCCCAGUCUGGGCACCAGCCCUACUCCCCCACCCUUCACUCCUGCACCUGGACACACAGAUCAUUCCCAAAAGGUGAUAUAAUUUAAAAUUCAGUGGCCGGUACAGGGCACCUGGGUAGCUCAGUUGGUUAGGCAUCCGACAUUGGCUCAGGUCAUGAUCUCACGGUUCAUGCGUUUGAGCCCCGCAUCAGGCUCUGCGCUGACAGCUCAGAACAUGGAGUCUGCUUCAGAUUCUGUGUCUCCCUGUCUCUCUGCUCCCCCCACCUGUUCACGCUCUGUCACGUUCUCUCUUUCAAAAAUAAAUAAACAUUAAAAAAAAAUUCAGUGGCCAGUAAAUUCUGAAAAGGAUAAGAGUAAUGAGAAUCUGUGGAAUGAAGAGAAUAUACAAGGCAAGAUGCAAUAUCAGAGUGGGGUCAUUUUCAGGAGCAGAUGUUAAAGGUACAGAGCAAUGAAAACUUGAUGCAUAUACAUAUAUACCCCAUUUAUACAGAAAUCAUGACUGUCAUAGAUCAAGGUCUCUGGGAAGCUGGCUUUGAAAAGGAUAUGUGCAUACAGUAGGCUUCUUAGGCAGUGCUCACAGAAUUGCCACCCAUGCAAGGGACAGGAUGGAAGCAGGAAUGGAUUGGAUGCGGGGGGCAAGUGAGCUGAAAUGCUCAACAAAAGCCUUGGCUGAUCCCAUGGGGAGCUGUGAAGCCAGGAUGGUUCUUGACAGGUGUCCCACGAUGGUAUGAGAGACCAGUACACUUGCUUCAUCAGCCAGUCAUUGGAUGUGGGCCACUGUGGGCCAAAUGAGGCUCUUCAGAGGACAGAAUUCCUACAGCUGGUGAUGUCAAGGGCUGUGUGUCAGCAGAGCUCCAGCAAUCCUCCAGGGAAUCUGGGUGGCUGGUUACAGCAUCCCCUAGGCUACAGGGAUGCUACACAGUGUAGCAAUGCCUCCUUCACCCAAAGAAAAGGCAUACAGGUAACCAGAUCCCUGCUAUUGAGAUCCACUCAGAAAUCAGAGGCAGAAGUCCAUUUACUUCUGGAGAAACUCACAAAAGAAAAAGUCAGGGGCCAUUCUGAACACUGCCUAAUACGCUAAUCACCAGGGCGGUAUGGACAAUGGGGGUAGCCUCACCUUGAGGGACCACAGGAUUAAUUUAUCAGGAAUUCCGAUUUUAGUUGCCAGCAGAGCUCCACACCCAGAUCAGUGGCUGGUAAAACUCAGUAUUUCUAAAACACAAUGAUUGAGAGAGCAGACACCUGGUCCCCUUCAUUCCGGCAGAGGUGCCAGUGCCCUGAGCAGGGUCCACAGCCCCACACAGACCUCACUGCUGCACUAUCUACCAGAGGUUGAGAGGCGCCAGGCCAAGGAAGCACUCUCCGGAGCAGGCCCCACAUGGUCCCAUGGGACGUCAUACAGAACUCCUCUGUCAGACUCUGCACCCAAGUGCCUUUUCACUCAACAAGGCCCGCACUACCAUUCACAUUUCACAAAUGAGGUAACAAAGGCCCAACAUCUUGUCCAACACCCCCUAGAGAACAUAGCAGCACCAGAAUUUGCACCCCAUUGGGGGAGGGGGCAACUUUGGGUUCAUUCCAUUAUGCAUGAUUGCCCUCAGGUAUCUGUUGGCAUGACCAUGAAUUAGGCUGUUUACACCUCCGUUGACAACAGUGACGUUUUUCUAUGGUCCGAGCUGCAGCCUUAUUUCAUUACCGUCAUUACUGUCUAUUGCAGAGGGGCGUGACGCUCUCUGCUCCUGGUGAAUUGUAAGUCUGUGGCUCCCUAGCAGGGAGGACCGUCAAUCUCUACAGGAUGACAGUGCACAGCAAGACACAGCAUCUCACUUCAGCUUCAGGAAGACAAAGCUGAGCAUCUUCUCUUUGAGAAAAUGAUUUUGCUCAUCAUUUGUCUAGUGUCCUAACUACAGGGAGAGAAAAGUUGCUUUAAAGCUGGUCUCUUUUGUCUUUUUCAAGCUGAAUGUGUCCCAUCAAACCUAAAGAAUUAGCCUUUCAACGGAAUACCGCAGCAAAGAUAAAAUACACGGCAAUAAAUUAUAAAUUCAUAAUGAAAUCCCAAAAGAAUUACAUUUACCUAGAUGUCACUCACCUUACAUGGCCACAUAGAGACUAUCACAGGGUGUGAUAUAAUCCAUACUUUAGUAAGAUCAGAAAACACAAUAUAAGUACCAGCUCUUCAUCAGGUUACCUCACUAGCCUGAGCCUCAGAUUUCAUCUACGAAAUAUGAGGGUGUGUCUGGGCCAUCUUUAAGAUUCCUUCCAGUUCUAGCAUUUCCUAGUCAGGAUCCACAGAGCCCUAUUUUGUUCUGCUUGCCAUGGAAAAGCUGUGAAACUACCACUAUCACCACAAGAUCACUCCCUAAAACAACAACAAGCUUCCCUGCAGGGUUUAGUGCCCCAUGAUAGGACACAGAAAGUGCUUAUGUCAUAAGUUUUUUUUUUUUUUAAAUGUUCUUGUUUUACCAUGGAUGCAGUAAUAGAAACAUUAGCAGACAGAGAUCCAAAGCAAGCUGUACUACCCCCCAAAGCUCACUGCAAUGUUUAGGCCAUAAAUUGAAAUUAGAAUUACAAAAAUGACACUCUAGAAAUUAUUUUUAAAACUAAAAACAUCUCUAAAAAAAAAAUGAAAUGGCAUUCCAACUCAGUGGUUCUGCAGGCAACCCCCCCAAGUGAGAAUGUCUCAAUUACGGCGAAGUCGCCGUUACCCUCUCGACUGAAAUUGCAUGAGAGAGCUGUGUGAUUUACAUUUGCAGUUUAUAAAAUAAAUUAGGCAGAAAAGAAUCUCAUAAUCUCAAACACAUUUAGUUUACCAGAUUCCGCCAAGGUAAGUAGACAAAGCAUGUAAUCCUUGAAGCAGCAAACAAUGACACUAAUGAUUCAUUAAUACGUUCAUCAGAAGAAAUUUGAUAAAUGUAUAGAUAUUCUCUUUCAGCCAACACUAGGAAAUGGAUCAGCAAAACUGCCCAAGACACACUUCCACCCAAACUCUGACUCCCAUCAUCAACUGAAUGGCCUGUGACAGGAGGGGUAAGGGAGGACUGACACCUAAGUUGCUAUUUUUCAAUGCUAUGCACACAGGCUUCAUUAGGAAGUCAGCGCAUUAUGUUUAGGACCAUACAGAACGGGUGGGUAUGGACCACAGCUCCACCUUGGCACAGCAGCUGUCACCUCCUGCCUCCAUCACUAUAGUGGCUUCCCAAUUGGUGUCCCUGCUGCCACCAUUGACCUUCUUUCAUCUUUAUCUUCCACAGAACAGCCAGAGGGACGCCUUAAAACUCUAAGUCAGUUCCUGCAACUUCUCAGUUCGACGCCACUUGAGCAGAGGGGCGACGCCCUCAAAGUCCUACGGGAUAGGGCCCCAUCUUAUCUUUCUGAGCUCAUUUCCUAUAUCCUCCUCCCUCACACAUUCUGUUCCAGCUACACAGUCCUCUUUGUUACUUCUCGAACUUUCCGGGCAAGCUCCUAGCUCAAGGCUUUUGUGGUUGUGGUUCUUUUUGCUCUUCCUUCAUCCAUAUGCGUGGGGACCUCCCUCUCCACUUUGAAGGCUUGGCUCACAGGUUACCUGCCCUAACCAUUGCCUUACUACCAUUACCUGCCCCUUAUCCCCACCCCUGUGCGCUGUCAUACCCCAUACCCUGGCUGACCUUUUAUUCUGUCCAGUAAAAUUGAAAG
rnacentral:lncRNA from 1 species